UUUAAAAAAGGAAAAAAUGAAAAAUGAAAAAGUAAAUAUACGAAAAAGCAUACAAGUACAGGACACGGAAACUCCCUCGCACGCGCACACCCAUCUCGGUGGACAAGUCUGUGUGAGCUUUUUUUCCUCAUCAUCUCUCGGGAAUAUCUACACUACUCCACCACCCACCGAAUUCGCCGGUAUUGAAUCCCUGAUAUCUAGAGAAUAUUUCGGUGGCCAACAAGUAUUGCGGCGGCUACUCGAUGAGCUCUAUUCCAAUGGAAGAUGGAAAAGAUGAGGAAGCAAAUCGAUUAUUACGAUCCCAGUCAACUUCAUCGCCUCCCAAGUCAUUAUAUUCGCCGGACGAGGAUGACGAAGAAGAAGUUGCUUUUGAGGAGCGAGAGAAGAUCUUAAUUGUCGAUUUGAAUUCACCGGAGGCCAUUGAUUCCUGUGUCGUCCCACCGUUCUCGUGGAAGAAGCUAUGGUUGUUUACUGGGCCAGGGUUCUUGAUGAGCAUAGCCUUCUUGGAUCCAGGCAACCUGGAAGGAGAUCUCCAGGCUGGAGCCAUUGCUGGGUACUCAUUGCUCUGGCUCUUGAUGUGGGCAACGAUUAUGGGCCUCAUGAUCCAGUUGUUGUCAGCAAGAGUUGGUGUCGCCACGGGCCGACACUUGGCGGAGCUUUGCCGGGACGAGUAUCCGAAUUGGGCCAGAUUGGUUCUUUGGUUCAUGGCGGAGGUGGCAUUGAUUGGAGCUGAUAUUCAGGAGGUGAUUGGGAGUGCCAUUGCUAUUCAGAUUCUUAGUCAUGGGGUUUUGCCUCUUUGGGCUGGAGUCAUCAUUACUGCUUCGGAUUGUUUCAUCUUUUUAUUUCUUGAGAACUAUGGAGUGAGGAAGUUAGAAGCUGUGUUUGCAGUUCUCAUUGCAACAAUGGGUCUAUCAUUUGCUUGGAUGUUUGCUGACGCAAAACCCAGUGGAAAACAACUUAUUAUCGGUCUGUUGGUUCCUAGACUUGGCUCAAAAACUAUUCGGCAGGCUGUUGGAGUUGUUGGUUGCGUUAUAAUGCCUCACAAUGUAUUUCUACACUCUGCUUUGGUGCAGUCUAGAAAUGUUGAUCCCCACAAGAAAAGCAAAGUUCAAGAGGCACUGAACUACUACUCUAUCGAGUCAUCUGUCGCUCUUUUCAUUUCUUUCAUGAUCAAUUUGUUCGUGACAUCUGUGUUUGCUAAGGGAUUCUAUGGCACCAAACAAGCAGACAGUAUAGGACUAGUAAACGCAGGUCAGUAUCUUCAGGAUAAGUAUGGUGGGGGCCUCCUUCCAAUUCUUUAUAUAUGGGGAAUUGGAUUGUUGGCAGCUGGACAGAGUAGCACAAUAACCGGCACUUAUGCUGGGCAGUUUAUUAUGGGUGGUUUUCUUAACCUCCGUUUAAAGAAGUGGAUGAGAGCAUUGAUCACCAGGAGUUUUGCUAUUAUUCCAACCAUUGUUGUAGCAGUUAUAUUUAAUACAUCUGAAGCUUCUUUGGAUGUUUUGAAUGAAUGGCUUAAUGUCCUUCAGUCUAUUCAGAUUCCAUUUGCCCUUAUUCCUCUUCUUACCUUGGUAGCAAAGGAGCAGGUGAUGGGAGUCUUUAAGAUUGGGCCUGUCCUUGAGAGGGUGGCAUGGACGGUGGCUGGACUGGUAAUAGUCAUCAAUGGGUAUCUGUUGCUAGACUUUUUCAUUUCUGAAGUUAAGGGAGUCUUGUUUGGUUUUGCGGUCUGCUUUGGCACCACGGCAUACUUAGGAUUUAUUAUAUAUCUUAUUACACACUGCGGUAUCCUUCCCUCUACUUGGUGGAGCUCACUCUCCAAAAGGAUUGCUUGCAUCAGAACGUGACUCAACAAAUCCAUAUACCAAUUUCUGGAAAUAUUUGAAAUAUAGCACUUCCCACACAAAAGCAGAGUCUGCUUACCACACGGGUGAUCCAUCUGUCUUGAGAAGAAGUAUUCUUUCAUAAUAACUUCCUCUAACCAUGGUACAUUCAGAAACAAGGAGAAAAAAAUAAAAGCAUUUUUUUUUCAGACCUAAAAGUUGACAAGUUUUGAACAAAGCAAUGCUCCUACAAUUCUCUUGUGAUGCUAGGGCUACUAUGAAAACUUGAUUUUGGCAGUCAAAAUGAUGCACUUGCGAUACUACAGUGAUCAGGGAUGAAAUUAGAAAUAAAAUUUGGUAGGGCGCUUACAUAUUUUUAUAUUAUGUGAAGACUUUUAAAAUUUUAAUUAUAAAAUUAAAUAUAAUAAAAUGUAAAAUAAUACAUAAUUGUAUUAAAGUAAUUUUUAUUCAAUGUUAUUUUACAUUUUCACUUUGCACAUAGUUGCUAGGUGGUUCA